rnacentral:rRNA from 1 species
CCUACGGGGGGCAGCAGUGGGGAAUAUUGGACAAUGGGGGGAACCCUGAUCCAGCCAUGCCGCGUGUGUGAAGAAGGCCCUCGGGUUGUAAAGCACUUUCAGUGAGGAAGAACGCCUGGUGGUUAAUACCCAUCAGGAAAGACAUCACUCACAGAAGAAGCACCGGCUAACUCCGUGCCAGCAGCCGCGGUAAUACGGAGGGUGCGAGCGUUAAUCGGAAUUACUGGGCGUAAAGCGCGCGUAGGUGGCUUGAUAAGCCGGUUGUGAAAGCCCCGGGCUCAACCUGGGAACGGCAUCCGGAACUGUCAAGCUAGAGUGCAGGAGAGGAAGGUAAGAUUCCCCGUGGAGCGGUGGAAUUGGUAGAGGUCGGGAGGAAUACCCGUGGCGAAGGCGGCCUUCUGGACUGACACUGACACUGAGGUGCGAAAGCGUGGGUAGCAAACAGGAUUAGAUACCCUUGUAGUC